GAUGCUCACUGUUCACCCUCCUCCCCAUGCUGACUCAUCGCCUCUCUGUAGCUAUGCAAACACAGCCCCCCUGAACCCCCCGGGAAGACGUAAAUGCAGCCGGGAACCAAGGUUUAAGGAGACAGAGCUGGGUCAUAAGCUGCUUUCUUUUAUCAUCUCUGUUACCCCAGAUAAAUAAUUACCUGUUUCAGGGCCUCCCCGGCCUCCUAAUAUUCACAGAGGGGAUCAUGCUAGCAUCUGCUUCCUAGGAACUCGUUAGAUGCAGACUACAGGUUGUGUCCUCAUCUGGCAGAGAGAAGGGGACAAAGCUCUCUGGGAUUCCUACAAUAAAGCUAGUAAUUUUAAUAA